AUAAUUGCAGUGAGCAGACUCCUUCCUCGGGGCGCAGGGAAGGGGAGCACCCCUCCCAUCUCUGCCAAGGGGAUGGUGUCGCUGAGACCCCUGCUCUCUCCCCACCCACAGCCCCAGACCCUGGGGUUCCCCAGAGCCCCCCGAUGCCCAGGAAGACAGUCUGAGGGUGCAGGGUGAGUCUUCUGGGGGAUUUUGGGCGUCAGGCUGGGAGACUGGGGUCAGGAGCCGAGGAAUGACGGAGAUCCGGAGCCUGGGACCUGGGCCUCUUCCCCCGAAUGACUGGGGACAGUCCCCUCCAUGGCAACAUGGCUCAGACGACCUUCCCGGGCCACCGGGUCCCGCUCCUGGUCAAUGGCCAUUAACUGAACCACAGUUUACAGGCAGCGCCCCAGGACUGGCACCAGCACAGCUGUGACUUCAGUGUCACCAGGCAGGCCCCUCCCAGAUGCCACACUGGCAGCCGGACAGCUUAGGGAACCACAAUCAAGCCAUUACGAGGCCCCAAGCAGCUUGGUGGCGGGAUGGCCCCUUCGGCCAGCUCACAGGCCCAGGGCGCCUGGGAGUGGCCGGGCAGGGUCCUUCCCAAAGGCCUCAGUCAUGCUUACAAAGACCCUCCCCCAGGGCCUCCCGCCAUAGGGGCUGAGCCACCCCCCUGUCUGGCAGCCCCUCUACAGACUCGGGAGGCCUGGGAGGAGGCGCCAAGGCUCCCCUGUGCCUGCCCAGUGGCCCUGCCCCUCCCUGCCCUGUGACCCUGCCAGCCCCUCCCCAGGAUCCCUGCCAUCUGUCCAGGGCCCAGCCCAGCCCUGCAGCCAGAGACAGGCCUGUGUUCUUCCCUGUCGGCCUGGAGUGGGGGCUGCGCGUCAGUGGUCCUAAGAUCCAUCUUCCUAUUCUUAUUAAAAGGGGCUAAAGCCAGCCGCGGUGGCACACGCCUGUGAUCCCAGUGACUCGGGAGGCUGGGGCAGGAGGAUCACAAGUUUGAAGGCAGCCUCAGCAACUUAGCGAGGCCCUGAGCAACUUAGUGAGACCCUGGAUCAGAAAUGCCAAUAAAAAGGGCUGGGGUGUGGCUCAGAGGUCAAGUGUCCCCGGGUCCAAUCCCUGGCACCAAAAAAAAAAAAAAAAAAACAACCAAAAAAUCCACAAAAGCAUCACCAACCAAAAGCGCUG
rnacentral:lncRNA from 1 species